rnacentral:rRNA from 1 species
UAAACUAGGAUUAGAUACCCUAUUAUUUUAAAAUGUAAAUUUUUUAGGAUUAAGGUAUUAAAAGUUGAAUUCUUAAAAUUUAAAAAAUUUGGCGGUAUAUUAAUCUUUUCAGAGGAACCUGUCCUGUAAUUGAUAGUCCACGAUUAAAAUUAUUUUAUUUAAAAAUUUGUAUAUCGUUGUAAUUGAAUGUCUUUUUAGAGAGAAAAACGUUCAAGAUUUAAAAUUAUAAAUAAAAACAGAUCAAGGUGCAGUUUAUAAUAAAAUAGAGGUGGGUUACAAUAAAUUUAUAUUUAGAUGGUUAAAUUAUUUGAAAUUAAUUUUUAAAGUGGAUUUGAAUGUAACAUAAUUUAAUUAAAUUUUGUGAUUAAAGCUCUAAAAUAUGCACAUAUUGCCCGUCGCUUUCAUUUAUAAUUUAAAGUGAAAUAAGUCGUAACAAAGUAGGUGUACUGGAAAGUGUACCUGUAAUGAUUCAAAUUAGAGCUUGUGUAAAAAGUAUUUUAUUUACAUUAAAAAGUUAAUUGUGAAAAUCAGUUUAAUUUGAAUUUAUAAAUUUAUUUUUAUUUUUAUUUAUAAAUUUUUAAAAAAAAUAUUUUUAUUUUUGGUAAAUUUUAAGGACAAAUUUUUUUUAAUAAUAGUUAAAAGUAUAGUAAUAGAAGAUUUAAAUAUUUGAAAUAUUAAAAAUUUUUAAAAGAAAAAUUGAGUUUUGUACCUUGUGUAUCAGGGUUUAUUAAAAAUAGAUUAUUUAUUUAAUUUUCUCGAAUUACAAAGAGUUAAGAAAUUAUAAAUUUUAUUGUAAAAUAAAUAUUUUUUAUAAUUUUUUAGUAAUGAAAUGUUAUUCGUUUUUUAGGAUAUCUAGUUUUUUAAGAAAUAAAUUUAAUUUAGUUAAUUUUUAUAAUUAUUUUUAUUUUAUAAAUUUAGUUUAAAUAUUAAUUAAUAUUUUAAGGGAUAAGCUUUAAAAUAAAAUUUUAUAAAUAAUAGUUUAAUUUGUUUAGUAAUGUAGGAUUAGAAUUUUUUUUCAUUAUAUUAUGUUAUAAUUAUAUUAAGAGUAAAUUUGAUUUUUAUUAAAUUUUAAAUUUUUUAUUAAAAUUAUUUAUUUAAUAAUAAAAUAUUUGUAAUAAUGAUAAAAUUAGUAUAAUUAUAUUGAUGUUUAGUAAAAUUAGAUUUGAAAGGUUAAUUUAAGGAAUUCGGCAAUAAUUUUUUCCGCCUGUUUAAUAAAAACAUGGCUUUUUGAUUAUAAUUUAAAGUCUAGCCUGCCCAAUGAUUUAUUUGAAUGGCCGCAGUAUUUUGACUGUGCAAAGGUAGCAUAAUAAUUUGUUUUUUAAAUGGAAACUGGUAUGAAUGGUUGGACGAGAAAAAGACUGUCUCAAUUUAAUUUAAUUAGAAAUUUAUUUUUAAGUAAAAAAGCUUAAAUAAUUUUAAAAGACGAGAAGACCCUAUAGAGUUUUAUAUUUAAUUUAAAAUUUAAAUUUAAAGUAUUAAAAAGUUUAUAUUAGAUUAAGUAUUUGGUUGGGGUGAUUAAAAAAUUUAAUGAACUUUUUUUAAGUAAUUUACAUUGAUUUAUGAUUAUAUGAUCCAUUAAUAAUGAUUAAAAGUUUAAAUUACCUUAGGGAUAACAGCGUAAUUUUUUUUGAGAGUUCUUAUCGAAAAAAAAGUUUGCGACCUCGAUGUUGGAUUAAAAUUAAUUUUUGGUGUAGAAGCC